rnacentral:rRNA from 1 species
UACGAAGGGUGCAAACGCUGCUCGGAAUUAUUGGGCGUAAAGCGCACGUAGGCGGCUUUUCAAGUCGGAUGUGAAAUCCCUCGGCUUAACCAAGGAAGUGCAUCCGAAACUGGAAGGCUUGAGUACUUAAGAGGAUCGCGGAAUUCCCGGUGUAGAGGUGAAAUUCGUAGAUAUCGGGAGGAACACCAGUGGCGAAGGCGGCGAUCUGGGAAGAUACUGACGCUGAGGUGCGAAAGCGUGGGGAGCAAACAGG